UGGCGGCAGGCCUAACACAUGCAAGUCGAGCGGUAACAGUUUCUAGCUUGCUAGAAGAUGACGAGCGGCGACGGGUGAGUAACGCGUAGAAAUCUACCUAGUAGUGGGGGAUAGCCCAGAGAAAUUUGGAUUAAUACCGCAUACGCCCUACCGGGGGAAAGCCGGGGGAUCUUCGGACCUCGUGCUAUUAGAUGAGUCUGCGUCGGAUUAGCUUGUUGGUGAGGUAAUGGCUCACCAAGGCGACGAUCCGUAGCUGGUCUGAGAGGAUGACCAGCCACACUGGAACUGAGACACGGUCCAGACUCCUACGGGAGGCAGCAGGUGGGGAAUAUUGCACAAUGGGCGCAAGCCUGAUGCAGCCAUGCCGCGUGUGUGAAGAAGGCCGUUAGGGUUGUAAAGCUACUUUCAGCAGUGAGGAAAGGGGUGUCGUUAAUAGCGCCAUCCUGUGACGUUAACUGCAGAAGAAGGACCGGCUAACUCCGUG
rnacentral:rRNA from 1 species